CGAGGUUGUUGACGAGUCCACUGUUGUUGGGUGCCUUGGGAGCUGAUGCUGCAGAUAGAAGUCAUCUGCUGUAGAAGCUCAGAUGGAGACUUUCUGUUGGAGAAUUCCGGCAGGAGUUCGAUUGCUAGAGAAGUCCGUCUGAAAUUUGCCUGAUGUAGAAGCUCGUUUGAAGACUAUCCAUUGGAGAGGUCCGAUUUCAUGAGAAAUCCAGCAGGAGGUCGACCGAUAGUGG
rnacentral:lncRNA from 1 species